AUUGAACGCUGGCGGCAGGCCUAACACAUGCAAGUCGAACGAGUGGCGGACGGGUGUGUAAUGUCUGGGAAACUGCCCGAUGGAGGGGGAUAACUACUGGAAACGGUAGCUAAUACCGCAUACCAUCGGAUGUGCCCAUAUGGGAUUAGCUCGUCGGUGGGGUAACGGCUCACCUGGGCGACGAUCCCUAGCUUGUCUGAGAGGAUGACCAGCCACACUGGAACUGUGAACCGGUCCAGACUCCUACGGGAGACAGCAGUGGGGAGUAUUGCACAAUGGGCGCAAGCCUGAAGCAGCCCUGCCGAGUAUGUGAAGAAGGCCUUCGGGUUGUAAAGUACUUUCAGCGAGGAGGCGUUACUCGCAGAAGAAGCACCGGCUAACUCCGUGCCAGCAGCCGCGGUAAUUC
rnacentral:rRNA from 1 species